rnacentral:rRNA from 1 species
GACGAACCGAGCGAACGUUGUUCGGAAUCACUGGGCUUAAAGGGCGCGUAGGCGGGUGCUCAAGUCCGGGGUGAAAUCCUCCGGCUCAACCGGAGAACUGCCUCGGAUACUGGGUGCCUCGAGGGUGGUAGGGGUAUGCGGAACUAUCGGUGGAGCGGUGAAAUGCGUUGAUAUCGAUAGGAACUCCGGUGGCGAAGGCGGCAUACUGGACCACCUCUGACACUGAGGAGCGAAAGCCAGGGGAGCAAACGGG